GUAAGAGCAGGCAUAGGAGCCGCGGUUGGGAGAAGCACAGCGCAGCGCUUCUCCCAACUGUGGCUCCUGUGCCUGGCCUUGC